ACCGGUUCAGGAUUGCUUUCUAUUGAAGUUGUUUCCUCUGCUUGAUCUUGUGAUGUACCUUAGGAGAUUGUUGAUACAGUAGCCUGAAGCAAAGGGAGACAGAGUCGGUAAAUCAGCAUAUCGACAAUUAGUAAUCAGGAUUGUACAUUAGAAAUAACCAAUUCCUCAAUCUUGUUAGCAUGUGUUUUUAUUAAAUGCCCAAAUAGCAACAAU
rnacentral:lncRNA from 1 species